CGGGAGGGGUGGAGGGGAGCAGGGAGCUGUCCGAUCGCCCCCAUUUUCUUUGAAAAGGCAGGAUUGUCUGGGAUGUUUGGGGGGCUGGGGGAGGGAGGGGAAAAGGAGCCUCCUCCAGGCAGGAGUAUUCGCCCAGCUCAGCGGGGCCUGAUUGCAGGUUAUUAUCAUACAUUAUCUCACUCCCCUGCUCCUGAAAAGAACCCGGUUCCUAUUCUUCCUUCUUCUCAGCCCUCCCUUCUCUCCACUUGUCUUCUACACUUAAUUACCUCACUUAUUACGCCGCAGCCCGGAGAGGCAGAGAAAAAGUGCAGGGACAGUCAGCAGGCAGAGCAGAUCGCCACAACUGGGGCUCAUUUUUCAGAGGAGGAAAUUGAGUUGGAAGAAGAGAGACUAGCCUGA
rnacentral:lncRNA from 1 species